rnacentral:rRNA from 1 species
UACGUAGGGUGCGAGCGUUAAUCGGAAUUACUGGGCGUAAAGCGUGUGCAGGCGGCGCGUUAAGACAGGUGUGAAAGCCCCGAGUCUUAACUUGGGAAUUGCGCUUGUGACUGGCGUGCUGGAGUGUGGCAGAGGGAGGUGGAAUUCCACGUGUAGCAGUGAAAUGCGUAGAGAUGUGGAGGAACACCGAUGGCGAAGGCAGCCUCCUGGGCCAGCACUGACGCUCAUGCACGAAAGCGUGGGGAGCAAACAGG